GUGAACCAACCAGCAAUCUCUGGCUGCAGCUCAGAAAGAACAAAAGGGGAUGGGCCUUCCCUGCUUCAUGUGUGCAAGCUGCUUUGGCACUCAUGGCGGGACCUGCCUAGGUCACAGGGACUUGGAGAUGCAAGGAUGGAAGAGGAAAAGAGGACACUCUUCCUUUUCUCCCUCAUGUACCCCAGGUAUCUGCUAGGAAGAAAAGGGAGCCAGGGAUGCCUGCUCCCCUCUUUCUAGAUGGGUAGCUAUUAAUCUUCAGUAUGUACCCCUUUUGAAUACAUCCUGAACCCCGGGGACUCCCUUAAAAAAAUGCCUUUUUGAGCUUACCCUUCCUAUUGUUUUGUUUUGAUACAUGUUUUCUAAUAACCCGGUUUGUCUGUUCUUAGACCAUCAAACUCCAAAUGGUCAUGCAACCAGAGCCUCUGACGAUGGCCCCUUCUGCUGGGAACCCUUAAAUAGGCCUCUGAGGAAGCUCUGACUGCCAUUUCCCCAAAAGCUCUGACUGCCGUUUCCCUGUCAGCAGGAAGCAGUUAAGUUUAGUCUUCAUCUUUAUCCUUAUUCUCAUGGCAGUUAGAUAUACUUUUUUAGAGCGGGGAAUGAGACAGCCAGGUGGGAGGGGGUCCCUGGAAAAAUUCUAACUGCACCGGGGUGGGGACUCAGGAAGUUCACGCAUUUUGCAGCUGGGAGGAGCGUGGCCCCUCCUCUUCCUGCAUGGAACCUGGGAUUCAAACAGGGGCUCUGGCCUUGCGGAAGAUCCCUGUUUCUCUCCUUCUUUUCCCUUUUCACCCAAUAAAACCCUGCCUUAAUCACACUUCAAACCAUUUGCUAGCCUAAAUUUUCAUGGCCAUGGGACAGACAAGGACUCAGUCUUUAGCUGAACUAAGGAAAUGUCCUGAAACAGUAAUAUGAAUGUAUACAUGUGAUAAAUGACAUAAAGCCAUAGUGUACAUAUUGUGCCAAUGUCAAAUUCCUAAUUUUGAUUUUGUGCUAUAAUUAUGUAAGGUAUAACCAUUGGGGAAAACUGGUAAGGGGUACGUGGAUCCCCUCUGCCCUACCUUUGAAACUCCCUGUGAAUCUAUUCUUUUUUUUUUUUUUUAAUUAUACUUUACGUUCUAGGGUACAUGUGCACAACAUGCAGGUUUGUUACAUAUGUAUGCAUGUGCCAUGUUGGUGUGCUGCACCAUUAACUCAUCAUUUACAUUAGGUAUAUCCCCUAAUGCUUUCCCUCCCCCCUCCCCCC
rnacentral:lncRNA from 1 species